rnacentral:rRNA from 1 species
AACGAACGCUGGCGGCGUGCUUAACACAUGCAAGUCGAACGAGAAAGUGUAGCAAUACAUGAGUAAAGUGGCGCACGGGUCCGUAACACGUGGGUAAUCUACCCUUAGGCGAGGGACAACCUGUCGAAAGACGGGCUAAUACCUCGUAAGACCACGGACUCUUAGGAUUCUGAGGUAAAAGGUGGCCUCUAUUUAUAAGCUAUCACCUGAGGAUGAGCCUGCGCACCAUCAGCUUGUUGGUGAGGUAAAAGCUCACCAAGGCCUAGACGGUUAGCUGGUCUGAGAGGACGACCAGCGACACUGGAACUGAGACACGGUCCAGACUCCUACGGGAGGCAGCAGUGGGGAAUUUUGGACAAUGGGCGAAAGCCUGAUCCAGCAACGCCGCGUGAGUGAUGAAGGCCUUCGGGUUGUAAAGCUCUGUCGGAGGGAACGAAUAAAGGCCACCUAAUACGUGGCCAUAUGACGGUACUCUCAAAGGAAGCAACGGCUAACUCUGUGCCAGCCGCCGCUGUAAGAC